ensembl:lncRNA
UGAUACUGAUAAAUGAAAAUAAUGAUCUGAUCUUCUCUCUUCUCCAUCUGUGUUGCUUUAGGAACGCUGUCAGCUGCGUUGUUGUAUGGGUCAAUACCAGGUCUUAGAUCAAAAUGUAUUCCAGUUUUGUAAUGUGGCCACAAUGAGAACUGGCCUUGAAUGUGUGUGUGUGCGUAGGUAAGUGUGUGUGUGUGUGUGUGUGUGUGUGUGUGUGUGUGUGUGUCAGUGGGCGUAAGAGGUCUGCUCAGAGGAGGGGAAUGUGCUUCCAGACUGUUUGGAGACAGAACAUUGCGUCUUGAAACAACAGUUCACUCGGAUCUAUGAUGCAAGAGAGAUUCAGUUUAGAUCGUGGUUCGAUGUGGACCCUGGUCCUGCCUCUCAGGGACACUGUUCUAUUUGCGUGGCGCUGCUGAACAAAAGGCCUGGUCACCCAUGGUGUGGAGAUGAGUGUUGGGGACCUAGAGGAGCAAGCUGGUUGCAGAUCUGAGGGUGCGGGUGAAGGUUGGAAAAGUUUUUUUCAUUUUUGGAGCAGUUUUUCCUGUGCCGAUGUGAGGGACAGGGAAUGGAGCUGGGAAGGGCCCGACUCUCACCGCCGCCUGCAGGAGAACCAAUACCCUCUUAACCUCUAGUCCAUGCCCAGCUGUUUUGUCUAGGGAAGAGCCCCACUGUGGCUGCGGCAAGGUCUCAAUAGACUUCGUCGUUGUUCUACACCUCAGAGCACAAACCCCGAUGCAGGAGCAGCGGUAGACUUACAUGGAGCGUACCAGACGGUGAUGGAGGAGCAGAAGAUGGACUCGAUGAUGGAGUGCACCAUCAUCGUCAUUGGCAGGUUGACUUUCUUCAGCUGUCUCAGGAAGAACAACCUCUGCUCAGCCUUCUUGGUGAUGGAGCUGAAGUUCAGCCCAGAAAACGAAAGGAAUCCACAGCGUUGAUGGGGUGAUGGGGGAGUGAUGGGGGAGGGUGGGACUCUGUUCUUCCUGAAAUCCACAACCAUCUCCACUGUCUUCAGAGCGUUGAGCUCCAGGUUGUUCUGGCUGCACCACAACACCAGAUGGUCAGUCCAAUGAGGGUGGUGUCAUCCGCAAACUUCAGCAGCUUGACGGACUGCCGACUGGAGUUGCAGCUGUUGGUGUACAGGGAGAUGAGCAGAGGGGAAAGAACGCAGCCUUGGGGGGAACCGGUGCUGAUGGACCGAGAGGCAGAGACAUGUUUCCCAAGUUUCGCGUGCCGCUUUCUGUCAGACAGGAAGUCAGUGAUUCACUUGCAGUGAACGUGCAGCUGAGAGAGUUUGUCCUGCAGCAGAGACGGGAUGAUGGUGUUGAAAGCAGAGCUGAAGUCUACAAACAGGAUCGUGGCGUAGGUUAACACAUAUAACACAAUAACACAUGAGCUACCUUAUUUUUAAGUUUUGUACUAAAGAACAGAUUCAUUUUGUCAAUAUACAGACACACAGCCAUACACAAGUACAGAGUAAAAGACAAGACACCCUAAAUUGCCUGAUGCAACAUUUUUGUUGUUGUAUUUUCACUUAUGUCACUCGUUGUCACACACAUCUAACACUGCCUCCAACAAAACAAAUAAAAAUGUGCUGCUCUCAUCAACGUUGGCUUCCGUCACUCCUGACGAAUCCCAUCCAACCAACCUUCCUCAGGGUGAGUGUUAAGUGUGCAAGUGGGUGCUUCUUAUAUCUUAUAUCACAAAGUGGUAGUCCUGCGUGCCUUUAGCAAUGCCGUAGGCGUUGAAGAGGGUGAGAAAGGACGAACGGGUGUCUGUUAUGUAUCUCUGUCACAGCCUCAGGGUUCACGGUCUACUACAAUGGAGGCCGACAGCAUCAUUUGUCAACUACGACAUUUGUAUCUGUUGUUCGACACACAGACACUCCACAUAAUAGUGUUCAACAUUUCCACACACACUGGAGUCACAGCCAGCACCUUUCCUUGAGCAUUAAGGUCUUUCUGAAAUUUAAAACAAUCUUAAACUACAUAUCUUUACUUAGGUGCACAUGCAGACACACAUACUAUGAUUUUAUUGCCCAACUUCCGCAGUUAUCCCCAAAAAGAUAACUAAUCGGCCCCACUGAAAAAGACAUCUUUGAUUACCUUUUAAUGUUACCCAAAGUCAUGCAAUCUUUUUGGCAACAUUUGUGCUUGGCAAAAUAUGUUUCUUGAAAGAAGCGGUUGUGGUUUAACUGGCAUCCGACGGACAGACCAUCCAGGCACAAAGCCCUCCGAAACAGAUCUUUUGAAGCACUUUCCCCAUUUAUAUGUAGAACCUUCUUCCUUCCUCUUGGCCAGCGGCGGAUGUGGGCUGAACGCUCCAGACGACGUAAAAGAGAGACUUCUGUCUCUUCGGCCUCUGCAAUGGAUAUGACAGAAGUGUCUCUUUUACUUGGCGCCUGAAAGGCAGUUUCCAAAUCAGUGGGUGUUAAUGUCUCCUUGUAUUUACAUUUAUUUGUGUAUGCGUUGAUGUGUGUGUGCAUGUGUGUCUGUGUGUGUGAAUAAUUGAGCGUAGUUAUUUUGGUUCCUCUGAGACUGUCAUGAGGAGCCAGGAUGAAAGACCAAAGAGAGUAAACCGCAGGUGAGAAGUUAGUGUGUGCACGUGUUAGUGUGUGUGUGCAUUUAAGUAUAUUCAUAGAAGAAACCGUAUUUACAUGGUAAAAGUUGAUCUCAGCUCUUUGAAGUGGGAAAGUAUCAGUGUCUUAAGAAAACACACUGAGGAAAGGGCAGUUCGUUGUGUAUUUGAUGUGUGUGUGUGUGUGUGUGUGUGUGUGUGUGUGUGUGUGUGUGUGUGUGUGUGUGUGUGUGUGUGUGUGUGUGUGUGUGUGUGUGCGUGUGUGUCUGUGUGGCAAGAGAAAGAAAACCGGAGCAAGCGGGAGAUGAGGCCAUUAAUAACUUCUUUAUCACAGAGGCCCCCUUUGCCUUCCUCUCCCUCUCAUCCUCCCUUUAUCUUUCUUCUGCCUCUUUCAAUCUUUUCCACCAGACUUUCUUUCACUAUUUGUCUCAUAGCAAUAGAAUUAUGGGGCUUGGUGGCUCCCGCCCACAUAUAUUUGAUAAUAGGUAUAUUCAUUAACGUGGUACUAACUCCUCCUCCUAACAUGUCCUUGUGUAUCCGUGUGUGUUUUCCCUGUCCUCAGUCUUAUCUACCGAGACUAAAAAGACAAGUCUCCUCAGAAUGGAAACCAAUUACAUACAAAGAGAGCGAUUAGAAGUGGGGGAAAUUAAAAAUGAAUAAAACACAAGCUGAUAAAGAAAGUUGGAGUAACAAAG